rnacentral:rRNA from 1 species
UACGUAGGGGGCUAGCGUUGUCCGGAUUUAUUGGGCGUAAAGAGCGUGUAGGCGGCCAGGUAGGUCUGCUGUGAAAACUCGAGGCUCAACCUCGAGACGUCGGCGGAAACCAUCUGGCUAGAGUCCGGAAGAGGAGAGUGGAAUUCCUGGUGUAGCGGUGAAAUGCGCAGAUAUCAGGAAGAACACCCGUGGCGAAAGCGGCUCUCUGGAACGGCACUGACGCUGAGACGCGAAAGCGUGGGGAGCGAACAGG